rnacentral:misc_RNA from 1 species
GUAGAAAAAGAACCAAAGCAGAAAUAUCACUAUUUGUUUGAUAUGGGUGGCCUAAAAUAUGCUGUGACUGAAAACAGUGUUAAUAUAGCUCAUUUUUCAAUGAUACACUAAACAUGGGCCUUGAAAUGUAUGUCAUACCUUCUCCAUAAUCCUGUUGGAUGCUUCCAUGCCACACUUUGUCACAGCAGGCCGCGGGGUCGUCUACUCCCGGAUCGCGCAAUGCGCAUGCGCAGAAGACGCAUCUAAACACUGUCACAGCCACACUAUAUCACAGGACACCGGGAAUGGAGGCGAGCGCGCGGGACGGUUUCUUGGGGACAGUGCCGUGGUCUUCCCCGGCCUGGAAGUUUGCGGGAGACUAACCAGUAACCACUCGCCGGGCCAUGGCACGCUUGGGCCUGCAGGUGUUAACAAGCUCUCGACUUCGCCACACUUAUUUUUGACGGCUCUUGCAGAGUAAAGGGAUGAGGUGAACAAGUUGAAAAGGGACAGACUGCCGCCUGCCCCCACGCCGAUGAGGGUGAAUGAGGGAGCAUGCACUUCUCAAGGUCGAGAUUGGAAAGACAGCGCCUAGCGUCCAUGAUGAGGAGGAAAGAGGUGGCUACUGGCUUUAGUGUGUUGUGUGUUGUCUGAAAUUAUCUGAUGAACAUGCCCGAUGAUUCAGCACCGUUGCGAUCACAGGAAUAGGACGGAUGACGACAAGGCGACGCUGGAAACACGUUGUGCAUCGUGAAAGCACGAGGCCGAACGUGAGCCCUGGGGGGAAGAGGAAUGCAUGGUGAGUGUUAAUAUCAUUUUAGUAUUUCGUAAAGCGUGUGGGAACUAAAGGUGACAUGUCAUUUUCGCUUUUACUUCUCAGUCACUGUGAUAUUUCUUUUCUUUUCUAAUAAACAAGAGUAUAUGUUUCAGUAAGGCAGAAAUUAAGGGCCAGUUUUAUAAUGGUUUCAUGUUGGUAAUAUCUGCAGGGUUUAUGGGCGAUGAUUUUCAGGCCCACAAACCAAUAAUAUUUCACAGCUGUCUUUGUACGUAAACCAGAAAUCUGAAUCCAAUGCAAGACAGGUAAGGAGGAGAGCUUCCUUACCGCAGCUUAGUAGUGAUAGUUUUUCAAGUACGUAUACAUUAAGUUUGUAGUAUCCCUGACACACUGAAUAUUGACCUAUUUCAUACCAUAUUCUCUUCUGUGAUGUUGCAUCACCAUGAACUAAACCAAUCAAUCAGUCUAUCUAUCUCUCUAUCUCCCUUUCUUUCCUUUAUUUUUUCUCCCAAAAGAUGUUACUUAUCGAGCUACUUGUUCCUUCAGUCUUCCUCUUCCCCCUCCAGUCUUAUAUCAUCUGAGAAAGAGUACGUAA